GGGGAAUUGUUCGCAAUGGGCGCAAGCCUGACGACGCAACGCCGCGUGGAGGAUGAAGAUUUUCGGAUCGUAAACUCCUUUCGAUCGGGACGAAUCGGUCGCGACCUAACACGGCGUGGCACUGACGGUACCGAGAGAAGAAGCACCGGCCUACUACGUGCCAGCAGCCGCGGUAAUACGUAGGGUGCAAGCGUUGUCCGGCAUUAUUGGGCGUAAAGCGCUCGUAGGCGGUCUGUCGCGUCGGCUGUGAAAACUCGGGGCUCAACCCCGAGCCUGCAGUCGAUACGGGCAGACUAGAGUGCUGUAGGGGAGACUGGAAUUCCUGGUGUAGCGGUGAAAUGCGCAGAUAUCAGGAGGAACACCGGUGGCGAAGGCGGGUCUCUGGGCAGUAACUGACGCUGAGGAGCGAAAGCGUGGGGAGCAAAC
rnacentral:rRNA from 1 species